UUAAGCGACUAAGCGUACACGGUGGAUGCCCUGGCAGUCAGAGGCGAUGAAGGACGUGCUAAUCUGCGAAAAGCGCCGGCGAGGUGAUAUGAACCUUUGACCCGGCGAUGUCCGAAUGGGGAAACCCAGUGUGAUUCGUCACACUAUCGUUAACUGAAUACAUAGGUUAACGAGGCGAACCGGGGGAACUGAAACAUCUAAGUACCCCGAGGAAAAGAAAUCAACCGAGAUUCCCCCAGUAGCGGCGAGCGAACGGGGAGCAGCCCAGAGUCUGAAUCAGCUUGUGUGUUAGUGGAAGCGUCUGGAAAGUCGCACGGUACAGGGUGACAGUCCCGUACACGAAAGCACACAGGUUGUGAACUCGAAGAGUAGGGCGGGACACGUGGUAUCCUGUCUGAAUAUGGGGGGACCAUCCUCCAAGGCUAAAUACUCCUGACUGACCGAUAGUGAACCAGUACCGUGAGGGAAAGGCGAAAAGAACCCCGGCGAGGGGAGUGAAAUAGAACCUGAAACCGUGUACGUACAAGCAGUGGGAGCACCUUCGUGGUGUGACUGCGUACCUUUUGUAUAAUGGGUCAGCGACUUAUAUUCUGUAGCAAGGUUAACCGUAUAGGGGAGCCGAAGGGAAACCGAGUCUUAACUGGGCGUUAAGUUGCAGGGUAUAGACCCGAAACCCGGUGAUCUAGCCAUGGGCAGGUUGAAGGUUGGGUAACACUAACUGGAGGACCGAACCGACUAAUGUUGAAAAAUUAGCGGAUGACUUGUGGCUGGGGGUGAAAGGCCAAUCAAACCGGGAGAUAGCUGGUUCUCCCCGAAAGCUAUUUAGGUAGCGCCUCGUGAACUCAUCUUCGGGGGUAGAGCACUGUUUCGGCUAGGGGGCCAUCCCGGCUUACCAACCCGAUGCAAACUACGAAUACCGAAGAAUGUUAUCACGGGAGACACACGGCGGGUGCUAACGUCCGUCGUGAAGAGGGAAACAACCCAGACCGCCAGCUAAGGUCCCAAAGUCAUGGUUAAGUGGGAAACGAUGUGGGAAGGCACAGACAGCCAGGAUGUUGGCUUAGAAGCAGCCAUCAUUUAAAGAAAGCGUAAUAGCUCACUGGUCGAGUCGGCCUGCGCGGAAGAUGUAACGGGGCUAAACCAUGCACCGAAGCUGCGGCAGCGACACUAUGUGUUGUUGGGUAGGGGAGCGUUCUGUAAGCCGUUGAAGGUGGCCUGUGAGGGUUGCUGGAGGUAUCAGAAGUGCGAAUGCUGACAUAAGUAACGAUAAAGCGGGUGAAAAGCCCGCUCGCCGGAAGACCAAGGGUUCCUGUCCAACGUUAAUCGGGGCAGGGUGAGUCGACCCCUAAGGCGAGGCCGAAAGGCGUAGUCGAUGGGAAACAGGUUAAUAUUCCUGUACUUGGUGUUACUGCGAAGGGGGGACGGAGAAGGCUAUGUUAGCCGGGCGACGGUUGUCCCGGUUUAAGCAUGUAGGCGGAGGUUCCAGGUAAAUCCGGUACCUUAUUAACGCUGAGGUGUGAUGACGAGGCACUACGGUGCUGAAGUAACAAAUGCCCUGCUUCCAGGAAAAGCCUCUAAGCAUCAGGUAACAUCAAAUCGUACCCCAAACCGACACAGGUGGUCAGGUAGAGAAUACCAAGGCGCUUGAGAGAACUCGGGUGAAGGAACUAGGCAAAAUGGUGCCGUAACUUCGGGAGAAGGCACGCUGAUAUGUAGGUGAAGCCCCUGCGGGUGGAGCUGAAAUCAGUCGAAGAUACCAGCUGGCUGCAACUGUUUAUUAAAAACACAGCACUGUGCAAACACGAAAGUGGACGUAUACGGUGUGACGCCUGCCCGGUGCCGGAAGGUUAAUUGAUGGGGUUAGCGGCAACGCGAAGCUCUUGAUCGAAGCCCCGGUAAACGGCGGCCGUAACUAUAACGGUCCUAAGGUAGCGAAAUUCCUUGUCGGGUAAGUUCCGACCUGCACGAAUGGCGUAAUGAUGGCCAGGCUGUCUCCACCCGAGACUCAGUGAAAUUGAACUCGCUGUGAAGAUGCAGUGUACCCGCGGCAAGACGGAAAGACCCCGUGAACCUUUACUAUAGCUUGACACUGAACACUGGUCCUUGAUGUGUAGGAUAGGUGGGAGGCUUUGAAGUGUGGACGCCAGUCUGCAUGGAGCCGUCCUUGAAAUACCACCCUUUAAUGGCUGGUGUUCUAACGUAGACCCGUGAUCCGGGUUGCGGACAGUGUCUGGUGGGUAGUUUGACUGGGGCGGUCUCCUCCCAAAGAGUAACGGAGGAGCACGAAGGUUAGCUAAUCCUGGUCGGACAUCAGGAGGUUAGUGCAAUGGCAUAAGCUAGCUUGACUGCGAGAGUGACGGCUCGAGCAGGUGCGAAAGCAGGUCAUAGUGAUCCGGUGGUUCUGAAUGGAAGGGCCAUCGCUCAACGGAUAAAAGGUACUCCGGGGAUAACAGGCUGAUACCGCCCAAGAGUUCAUAUCGACGGCGGUGUUUGGCACCUCGAUGUCGGCUCAUCACAUCCUGGGGCUGAAGUAGGUCCCAAGGGUAUGGCUGUUCGCCAUUUAAAGUGGUACGCGAGCUGGGUUUAGAACGUCGUGAGACAGUUCGGUCCCUAUCUGCCGUGGGCGCUGGAGAAUUGAGGGGGGCUGCUCCUAGUACGAGAGGACCGGAGUGGACGCAUCACUGGUGUUCGGGUUGUCAUGCCAAUGGCACUGCCCGGUAGCUAAAUGCGGAAAAGAUAAGUGCUGAAAGCAUCUAAGCACGAAACUUGCCCCGAGAUGAGUUCUCCCUGAGACUUUAAGUCUCCUGAAGGAACGUUGAAGACGACGACGUUGAUAGGUCGGGUGUGUAAGCGCAGCGAUGCGUUGAGCUAACCGAUACUAAUGAACCGUGAGGCUUAACCUU
rnacentral:rRNA from 1 species